AGCUAGUUGGUAGGGUAAAGGCCUACCAAGGCUUCGAUCAGUAGCUGGUCUGAGAGGAUGAUCAGCCACACUGGGACUGAGACACGGCCCAGACUCCUACGGGAGGCAGCAGUGGGGAAUUUUCCGCAAUGGGCGAAAGCCUGACGGAGCAACGCCGCGUGAGGGAUGAAGGCCUCUGGGCUGUAAACCUCUUUUAUCAAGGAAGAAGAUCUGACGGUACUUGAUGAAUAAGCCACGGCUAAUUCCGUGCCAGCAGCCGCGGUAAUACGGGAGUGGCAAGCGUUAUCCGGAAUUAUUGGGCAUAAAGCGUCCGCAGGCGGUCUUACAAGUCUGUCGUUAAAGCGUGGAGCUUAACUCCAUUUCAGCGAUGGAAACUGUAAGACUAGAGUGUGGUAGGGGCAGAGGGAAUUCCCGGUGUAGCGGUGAAAUGCGUAGAUAUCGGGAAGAACACCAGUGGCGAAGGCGCUCUGCUGGGCCAUAACUGACGCUCAUGGACGAAAGCCAGGGGAGCGAAAGGGAUUAGAUACCCCUGUAGUCCUGGCCGUAAACGAUGAACACUAGGUGUCGGGGGAAUCGACCCCCUCGGUGUCGUAGCCAACGCGUUAAGUGUUCCGCCUGGGGAGUACGCACGCAAGUGUGAAACUCAAAGGAAUUGACGGGGGCCCGCACAAGCGGUGGAGUAUGUGGUUUAAUUCGAUGCAACGCGAAGAACCUUACCUGGGCUAGACAUGCAGCUGCAGUCCCGAUGAAAGUUGGGAUGCCUUCGAGGGUGCUGCACAGGUGCUGCAUGGCUGUCGUCAGUUCGUGCCGUGAGGUGUUUGGUUAAGUCCAGCAACGAACGCAACCCCUGUGUCUAGUUGCCACCCCCGGUGAUGAAUCGGGGAGCACUUUAGACAGACUGCCCGUGUAAGCGGGAGGAAGGUGGGGAUGACGUCAAGUCAGUAUGGCCCUUACGCCCAGGGCUGCACACGUGCUACAAUGGGAGCUACAGAAGGAUGCAAGACCGCGAGGUGGAGCAAAUCCUGAAAAGCUUCCUCAGUUCAGAUUGAAGUCUGCAACUCGACUUCAUGAAGUCGGAUUCGCUAGUAACGGCGUAUCAGCUACGGCGCCGUGAAUACGUUCCCGGGCCUUGUACACACCGCCCGUCACAUCAUGAAAGCCGUCUGCACCCGAAGUCACUGAUUCAACCCGCAAGGGGGAUAGGUGCCGAAGGUGUGGGUGGUGAUUGGGAUGAAGUCGUAACAAGGUAGCCGUAGGGGAACCUGUGGCUG
rnacentral:rRNA from 1 species